AUUGAACGCUGGCGGCAGGCCUAACACAUGCAAGUCGAGCGGAUGAAGGGAACUUGCUCCUGGAUUCAGCGGCGGACGGGUGAGUAAUGCCUAGGAAUCUGCCUGAUCGUGGGGGAUAACGUCCGUACACGGGCGCUAAUACCGCAUACGUCCAGAUGGUGAACGUGAGGGAUCUUCGGACCUAACGCUAUCAGAUGAGCCUAAGCCGGAUUAGCUAGUUGGUGGGGUAAAGGCCUACCAAGGCGACGAUCCGUAACUGGUCUGAGAGGAUGAUCAGUCACACUGGAACUGAGACACGGUCCAGACUCCUACGGGAGGCAGCAGUGGGGAAUCUUGGACAAUGGGCGAAAGCCUGACGCAGCCACGCCGCGUGUGUGAAGAAGGUCUUCGGAUUGUAAAGCACUUUUAGUUGGGAGGAAGGGCAGUAAGUGAAUCCCUUGCUGUCUUGACGUUACCAAAAGAGUAAGCACCGGCUAACUACGUG
rnacentral:rRNA from 1 species